CCAUCCCAUAUCUGCAGCAGUUUGUGUAUUUCCAGUGUGGGGAGCAGGACGUAACCGACUGGGGCUGAAGAUUUGCCACUUUGUGAGCAGGUUAGUACAUGUAUCACGGGGCCUUUCCCUCUAGGGAAUGCUGGCUGUGAUGCAGCCCCAGAGCGGGGGAUUCUUGGCUCAGGGAGUUGGGAAUGGGACACCGGGCUUUUCCCCCUCUAGAUGAACUGGGGGAUGGAAGAUAAGGAACUAAACCAAAGCAGCUCAGCAUGCUCAUAACACUUGCAGCCCUGUAUGAAGACAAUUAUUACAAUCCAGUCUCAUGUUUCAGGACAUCCCUGCAGGGGUCAGGCAGGAAGAGUGACCCCGAUGCCCCAUUGGCUCUCUGUAUUCUGGAAUGUUUUUUCACUUUCCUCAGAAGCAUCAGGGAUCAUCCCCAGCUGGAGACAGGAUGGGGUGGGACGAUGCUCUGAGGUGCCUGGGUGAUGGGUCGGGCAGGCAUGCUCAUGAUUCAGCUGAUCAUCAGAACUGACAUGGAGAAUGAAUCACCCCCAUACCCCUCAUGUCAGAUUGGCAGCGAUCUAAGAGUUGGGGUGCAGGCCAGGAGCCCCGCCCGGGCAGACUUGCUGCGGAAGCACAUGGUGUGGAAGGGGCUGCUGAAUGCUCCGAGGUCAGAACCAGGAAGGUCAAAGCUGUGUAAGCUUCUUGCCCUGCUGACAGUGUGCUCAGAGAGAGGAGUCACACUACGCCAGAGUCCUGACUGGCUUCAUACAGAGCAGCUCCAGAGAAUUACCACAACAACUCCAUGACAACUGGUGGGGUCAACUGCUCCCCGUAGACAGAACAUCCUGCAGUAAGUGACUGGGGAGCAGGAAAACGAAGGGGGACUAGUGAGAGCCAGGCAGGCUGAAGGCUCAGAGAGGUGCGGUUCCAGGAGGAGGAGGAGAGAGAUUGUGACCCCUGAGAAGGACUGUCACUGAUAGGGUUCUUCCUAGGAACAUGAGGAUGUGAGAGAGCACAGGCCUGUGAGUCCGGACAACUUGGGAAAAAUGAAGAGAUGGCCCAUAACCGUCUCCUUAAGAAGGACGUUGUACAGCUGUGCAGAGAGAUAGGGCUGUGCAUUGGAAAGUACACCAAAGUGCAGCUGAUUGCUCAGUUGGAAGAGAAUGAUCACUCUAAGGCCGCGAGAGAGACUGGGAGCAGCCAGGCAGCUCCAGGGGACACCCUGGGCCCUGACCCAACUGAGGCUGCAGGAGGAGCUGAAAGCAGUCAGGUGAUCCCUGGACCCACUGUGACCUACCUGACCGGCAGGGGAUCUUCAUGGCUGAGUUCCCCAUCAGUGGAGCUGAGAUGGCUGGAACUGGAAAUGGAGCUGAAACUAAAAGAGCUGGAGAGCUGUGAGAAGGAAUGGCAGGGCCAUGUGAAAGAAUGGGAGGGUCAUGAGAGACAGAGAAAACCUGAGGAAAAGCAGACGUGGCACUGGUGGAGCUGAGAAGCAGAGAGACCCCUACCAUGGUGAGUGGGGAUGGGCCCAGGAGGGGCCAAGCCUGCAGGGAACUUUGAUAUAAAAUUGUUGCCCCAGUUUAUGGAUGGGGAGGAUAUGGACGCCUUCCGUACUGCCGUUGAGAAGGCUUGCAGUUUGCACCAGAUUGACCUGCCCCUUACUGGGUCCCAAAGCCAUCGGGUUGUUCAGGCAGAUAGAUGGGGUGGAAGCAGGGGACUAUGAAUUGUUCAUCUAAGCCCUGCUGUACAAGUGUGGGCUGACCCCGAGCUCUACAGGAAAAGGCUCUGCAGUUUGCAGAACACCCCGGGGGUGACCUGUCUGGAACUGGCCAUCUGGAUGAAGGGAUACACCCGCAAGUGGGAGAAUGGGGUUGGGGCCCAGACCAAGGAGGACAUGAUCAAACUGGUGGGGCUGGAGAAGAUGAAUGAGAGCUGCCUCCCUGACCUGAGAAUGUGGCUAAUGGACAAGAAGCCGAAGGACUGCCCAGUGCAGCACAGGGCAGCUGGCUGAGUAGUUUGCAGACAGCAGGUAGGGCUCUGGAAGGAAUCCCAAGGGGACAGACCCACGUUGGUGUGGAGGGGAGUCACUCAGGGACUCCCCAAAAGGGAGACUUGGAUAAACCCCUUCCAAGGGGAGCAGCCAAUACCAGGGCUGACUGAUCAGCCCCAGGGGACCAAUGGGACAUGAGGUGUAAUUCCUGUGGGCAGAGGGGCCAUGGAUGGCAUGGCCUGAGAUGAUGGCCCCAGACUGGGGGUGCCCAACACCUAUCUGACCCUGACGGGCAUGUGCAGGCCCCCAAUUAAGGUAGCCAUAGCUAGGGUGUGUCUGAUAUGGGGGGCCAAGAAGGGCCCCAAAGACAUGGGCUGCCCCAUCAGCUCCCAACCGAGGAUUGGCCAGGUGGGCCCCGGAGUGCCCAAGUCAUGACCUGUAGCCAGCAAAGAGUGUGGGGCCCUACCCCAGUGGGAAGGGAGCCACCAGGGACAGGGCUUAGUGGCGCUGUGAGCCCAGACCCAGGCAGCGAGAGGGAGCAGGUUGCCAUCUCUUCCCCAGCCAGUGAAUUCCAAGCCAAGCUACGGAAGGAUCCUUCCUUGGAGAAGCUGAUGGACCUUGCUGGCCACAGCACUGCCCCUGGGAGAGAUCCCUGUGGGAGAAAGGAUUCCUGUGGGAGAAGGGAUUCCUGUACUGUGAAUGGGUUCCCCAAGGAGCACUGGAGUUGUGAGGGAUCUGGAGGCAGCUGGUGGUCCUCCAGAAGUACCACCGCAGUACCUGGCCCAUGAUAUUCCUCUCUCGGGACACCAAGAGAUCCAGUGCGCCAGGCAAGGUUCCUACAAAACUUUUACCGGCCCGGAGUCUUUGAUGACAUCCAGCAGUACUGCAGGUCCUGUGAGCCCUGCCAGAGCGUGGGGAAGGCCCAGGAUAAGGGAAAAGCUGCCUUAAGACCUCUGCCCAUCAUAAAGGAGCCUUUUCAGAAAGUGGCUGUGGACAUAGUGGGACCCCUCCGCAAGGCAACCCGGUCAGGGAAGAAAUACAUUCCGGUGGUGGUAGAUUUUGCCAUCUGGUACUAGAGGCAGUGGCCUUUUCCUCUGUUGAGGCAGACGCUGUGGCAGACUCGCUGCUGACCAUUUUCAGAAUUGGGGGGGUUCCCCAGGGAUGUCCUUACAGAUCAGGGGUCCAACUUCAUGUCAGCCCUGCUCUGGUGCUUGUGGGAGAAGCGUGGGGUCUGGCACACUUGGGCCUCAGUGUAUCAUCUUCUGUCCAACGGUCUUGUGGAGAGAUUCAGUGGGACUCUAGAGAUGAUGCUGAAGACCUUUAUGAACCAGCACCCACAGGACUGGGACAAGUAUUUACCCCGUGUUCAGCGAAGUGCCCCAGGAAGCUACAGGGUUCUCUCCUUUUGAGUUGCUGUAUGGGAGGUGAGUGAGGCCCCCCUGGACUUAAUGGGGGAUGAAUGGGAGGGGAAGGCCUUUCCCGAUGGGGAGUCAGCGGUGGAGAAUGUAUUGACUUUCUGGGAAAAACUCACUGAGCUCAUAGGCUUGGUGAGGCAGAAUCUAGCCAGGGCCCAAAGGAAGCAGAAGAUCUGGUAUGACUGCUCAGCGCAUGUCCGCACCUGUGCCACUGGCGACCAGGUGAUGGUUCUCAUUCUCGUGAGAAAGAACAAACUACAAGCUGCCUGGCUGGGCCUAUUAAGGUCAUGAAGCAGCUGAAAGAAGUGAGCUCUGGUGGAAGUGUCUAACCAGACUCACAGCCACAGGGUGAACCAUGUCAACAUGAUGAAGCCGUAUUUUGACAGGGAGAAUUUGGUACUAGCCGUGUGUGGGCAGUGGGUGGAGCAGGGAGACGAUCCCUUGGUGGAUCUCUUCCCUGAGACAGGAGCUGGGCCAUCGCUGGAAUCAGUUCCUCUCUCUGACCAGCUAACCUCUACUGAGCAGGCAGAGAUCAGAGAGGUGCUGCAUUCCUAUCUGCAGCUGUUUUCCAACCUGCCUGGGCUCACUAACCUGGCUAUGGAGGAGUGGAGACAGGAGCUCACUCUCCUGUAAGAUGCUUCCUCUUCAUAGUCAUGGGGAAAACUGCCCAAGACCUGGAGAAAGAGGCCAAGGACAUGUUGUCUCCAGGGGUGAUCCAGCCAUCCUCCAGCCCUGGGCAUCUCCCGUGGUGCUGGUCCCCCCAAAAGAUGGGUCUAUCCGGUUCUGUGAGGACUUCUGGAAGCUAAAUGCCAUCACCAUGUCCGAUGCCUACCCCAUGCCUAGACCUGACGUGCUCCUAGACAAGCUGGGGUGGGGGUGGGGGAGGCUCGUUACCUCACUAGUAUGGAUCUCACCAAGGGCUCCUGGCAAGUGCCAUUGGAUCCAGAUGCCAGGCUGAAAUCUGCUUUUAUCACCCCUCUGGGGCUAUAUUAGUUCCUUUUGGCCUCAAGGGGGGACCUGCAACCUUCCAGCACCUGGUGGCCCAAUUACUCAGGGGGAUGGGGGACUUUGCCCUGGCAUACAUGGAUUAUAUCUGUGUCUUUAGCCAGAUCUGGGAGGAGCAUGUGUCCCAGGUUAAACAAGUGCCGGACAGGCUCCGGGAUGCAGGACUGACUAUUAAAGCUGGGAAUUGCCAUGUGGGGAUGCCAGAUAUCUCAUUCCUGGGCCCCAAGGUGGGGAGCGGCUGCCUAAAGCCAGAGCAGGCUAAGGUGGAGGCGAUCAGAGAUUGGUUAGCUCGGCUCCCCAUACUAAGAAACAGGUCCAAGCUUUUAUCAGGACGGCUGGGUACUGCCGGACUUUUACUGAGGCCCUCGGGGCAGGUGAGGCUGCCCAGCUGUCUGCACAGAGAGGAUGCCGAUGCCCUAUGUAACCUGAGCCCCAGGAGGGGAUGCAAACAGGUGACACGUUUUGCCCAAAAGCAGGACAAAGGCCAGAGGAGGAGCACCUGGCAGGCCAGACAUCGGGGUCCCAGACAGCCUGCGUUUUGGGACUUGGAGAGUGGGGAGUCCUGGGUGCAGGGCCUGGAAUGCCUUGAUUGAAAGUCCUUGAUUUCUGUGGUAAUAAUCUCUGUUCUACGCUGUGCUCCUGUCAACUAAUAAACCUUCUGUUUUACAACACUGGUUGAGAGUCACAUCUGACUACGGAGUUGGGGUGCAGGGCCCCCUGGCUUCCCCGAGACCCCUGCCCGGGCAGACUUGCUGCAGGAAGCACACGGUGUGGAAGGGGAUGCUGAAUGCUCUGAGGUCAGACCCAGGAAGGUCAAAGCCACGUAACUUUGUAAGCUUCUUGUCCUGGUGACAGUGAUAUCCUGGCUGGCUUCAGAUGGAGCAGUUCCAGAGCCUCUCCCUGAUGACUCCAUGACAUGUUAUGGUAGGUUUACAGGUUUAUAUUAAAGUAGUUUGGGUGUAAUGCAAGGCCCACACAGGCCACAUCCUGUAUUUUGAGCUAAGGCAAAGUCAGCAUACAGAUGUCUGGGACUUUGAUGAGCUGAAGCAUAAGGUCCAUAUGUGAUGUUGCACCCCGUAAUGCUUUAUAGAAAUAUGAUUAUGAGUGUAAAUAUGACAUAACUGGAAUAGGUUUUAUGCUAGGUAUGAUGUGUUACGUAUCUUUGCAAAGGUUGUGAUCUACUGACUAUGUUCAUCCUAUCUGUAUGCAUGUAUCAUUUUUAUAUCUGAAGUUAUGGGCAUUGGCUCAACGCUUGUAUUUAAAGUGUUUGCUGUAGGAAGCACAUAAGACAGAUUUGGUCAGCAUAGCGUGAAGAGGUUAUUCCAGUAAUUGGGAGUAUUUAACUAACAAUGGACUUUGGGAGACGCCAAUCCACAUCUGAGCUUUCCUGGGAACGUUCAAACUCACAUGUAAACAAUGGCGUCGGCCUGCAAAAAGCUGAAUCAUCCAUAAACACGUGACUUGCCCAGGUGGCUAGAGACUCCAUCCUGUUGCUGUGAUGUUGCACAAGAAAGAGAAUAUAAAAAGCCCUGGAAACCCCUCCAUUUUGUCUUCAGCUGUCUCAAGAGAGAGCCAAGCCAUCUUCACCCCAAAGAAAUGCCUGAAAGAAACUUGAAUAAAGGACAGUAACUACAGGGGUGUAAGUGAUUGCUGGACCCAAACUAGGAAGGAGUCUAGUCUGUCAAAGCAGCUUAUUGGAACAUCUCUGAGGGUGAGAGUUACCUGCAUUUAGUUUCUUACUGUAUUAGGCUUCGACUUGUGUGUUUUUGUUUUAUUUUGUUUGGUAAUGUACUUUGUUCUGUCUGUUACGACUUGGAACCACUUAAAUCCUACUUUUUCUAUUUAAUAAAAUCUGUUUUUGCUUAUUAA